UCCACAUAACGCGGGGGGGGGACCUUCAGAACACCGGGGCGCGCAUGCGCGCUGCGGCGGUCGGUCGGCGUGCAGCUGGAAGUCAUUGCCCGCGGCUUGGCGUCCGCGUUGCCACGGCGACCGCCCCGGCGGCGCCAGCUGGGCCGCGGCGUGAAUGGGUGAUGUCACACGGCCGGCGCCGGCCGGUCUGGGCUGAGGGGCCGAGCCGCCGGCCGGGGGAGCCCGGGAUGAGUGGGGUGUGGUGGUGGUGAGGUGGGAGCCUCCGGGAGCGGGGCACCGGCACCCGUUAAGAGCCCCAAAGAGCCCCGAUGCCUUUAGGUUUUACCUCACUGCGUUGCCCCAGCCCCGGAGGCGCCCAGAGCCGGCUUGCACGGGGCUGUGGUGUGCGGCAGCGGGUAGGAGCGUAAGGCAGGUGUUGAGCCGAGCGGCACGCCGAGGGCUCGCCCUGCAAACGUCCAUCUGAUUGCGCUUACCCGCAGCCGUUCAGAUCGCAGAUGGGUUUUAGCACUGAGGGCUGCUGAAAAGGGAACGGAUCUGGAGCACCGGCCGCCUCCGUCAGGUUUCAAGCCUCUGCAAGAUGCUGACUGCUAGGGAACAAAGGCUGGUAUGCGGUUCCCUCAAAGGCAGGUUUUCCAGCAGCAGAGGAAGGAGGAGAUGCAUGCAUUCCCACGGGGCUGCUCACACACCUCAUGAGUACUUUUUGUCAGAUGCAAAAGUAAAAGCAUGCAUCUCUCAGCACACCGGGAUGAAACAGGACCCUGGGGAGUGAAAGGAGAGACCACGCACCUCACUAAAACAUUAAACACUACGGACAAUCCUGGUGCUGCAUUGUAAGACUGCUCAGAAGAAAGAAGAUACAGAGGAGUCGGGGAGAGGAAAAAGGAGAAGCUGAGAUGCAAGUGCUUUUUCAAACGCACACAAAUACAUAAGCAAAGCGAGACGUACUGACGACCUUAGAAAUAAUCUCCUACUAUUCUACAGUUUCUUCUGUCGGAUGGAAGAGAAGAACGAGGAAGAGCUUUUUAUUUCUGUUACUAAGCGCUUGGUUGAUCCUCAUGUGAUAUGGCAACAGGAACUCCACAGCAGCCCUUCUAGGUGUUGAGCAGCUCCUCUGAGAUCCUGAGUCUUCUGGCUGCCUGCUGAAGUCAAUGGGGACGGGGGUGUCUGAAUAUCAUGUAUUUUGGUGCCACCUGGAUGAAACAUGUCACACCAGUUAUCAGCUGUAGUUAUCAGCAAAGGAAAGAUUGGGAUUUUACCACGCUGCUUUGAAACGGCAUGCCCCAAAGCCCAAUAUAGGGACAUUGACUCUACCAUUGUUUCAUAACUUGUGUAAGAAUAAAAAUACAUAAUGCA